rnacentral:misc_RNA from 1 species
GAAUUGCGAAAAGUAAUGUGAAUUGCAUAUACCGUGAAUCAUCAAAUCUUUGAACGCACCUUGCACCAUUGGGAAUUCUCGAUGGUACGUCUGUUUGAGUAUCAAUUAAAACCUGCAAACUUUGCUUGGCAACAAGUGAUUUGGGCGUUUCGAUUGGUUAGCUGCAUGGCUACCGAUUUAGAUACAUAGUCUAGCAACGCUAGUCAACAGAGUUUAACACUUCUGCGUGACGAAUGUUACAUCAUGACUAGUGUGUAGUUCAUCUACACUUAAACUUUGAUCUCAAAUCAGACGAGGAUACCCGCUGAACUUAA